rnacentral:rRNA from 1 species
AGAACGAACGCUGGCGGCAUGCCUAACACAUGCAAGUCGAACGAGACCUUCGGGUCUAGUGGCGCACGGGUGCGUAACGCGUGGGAAUCUACCCUUGGGUUCGGAAUAACAGUGAGAAAUUACUGCUAAUACCGGAUGAUGACGUAAGUCCAAAGAUUUAUCGCCCAAGGAUGAGCCCGCGUAGGAUUAGCUUGUUGGUGAGGUAAAGGCUCACCAAGGCGACGAUCCUUAGCUGGUCUGAGAGGAUGAUCAGCCACACUGGGUCUGAGACACGGCCCAGACUCCUACGGGAGGCAGCAGUGGGGAAUAUUGGACAAUGGGCGAAAGCCUGAUCCAGCAAUGCCGCGUGAGUGAUGAAGGCCUUAGGGUUGUAAAGCUCUUUACCCGGGAUGAUAAUGACAGUACCGGAGAAUAAGCUCCGGCUAACUCCGCGCCAGCAGCCGC